rnacentral:rRNA from 1 species
GGGUAACCUGCCCGGAAGCAGGGGAUAACACUUGGAAACAGGUGCUAAUACCGUAUAACAACUGAAACCGCAUGGUUUCAGUUUGAAAGAUGGUUUCGGCUAUCACUUCUGGAUGGACCCGCGGCGUAUUAGCUAGUUGGUGGAGUAAUGGUUCACCAGGGCAAUGAUACGUAGCCGACCUGAGAGGGUAAUCGGCCACAUUGGGACUGAGACACGGCCCAAACUCCUACGGGAGGCAGCAGUAGGGAAUCUUCCACAAUGGACGAAAGUCUGAUGGAGCAACGCCGCGUGAGUGAAGAAGGGUUUCGGCUCGUAAAACUCUGUUGUUGAAGAAGAACACAUCUGAGAGUAACUGUUCAGGUGUUGACGGUAUUUAACCAGAAAGCCACGGCUAACUACGUGCCAGCAGCCGCGGUAAUACGUAGGUGGCAAGCGUUGUCCGGAUUUAUUGGGCGUAAAGCGAGCGCAGGUGGUUUCUUAAGUCUGAUGUGAAAGCCUUCGGCUUAACCGGAGAAGUGCAUCGGAAACUGGGAGACUUGAG